rnacentral:rRNA from 1 species
AUGCUUCUCCUAAAGACUAAGCCAUGCAUGCCCUGAAUAAGAGGAAGCAAUUCUCUCUGAAUCUGCGAACGGCUCCGCAAACCAGUUGUAAACUAGAGCAAGCAAGUCUGGCGGGCUUCGGCCUCCAGACGAUAUGGAUAACCCUGGUAAUUCUGAGGCUAAUACAUGACCGCAAAAACCGGGCAGCCCAGCAAUGGAUGCGUCGGGGAUGUGCGAUAUGGCUUGACAAUAACCGGGAAAAGACG